AUACGGAGGGUGCAAGCGUUAUCCGGAUUUACUGGGUUUAAAGGGUACGCAGGCGGUAAUUUAAGUCAGUGGUGAAAGCCUACAGCUCUACUGUAGAACUGCCAUUGAAACUGAAUUACUUGAGUAUGGUAGAGGUAGGCGGAAUACAACAUGUAGCGGUGAAAUGCAUAGAUAUGUUGUAGAACACCGAUUGCGAAGGCAGCUUACUAAACCAUUACUGACGCUCAUGUACGAAAGCGUGGGGAGCGAACAGGAUUAGAAACCCCAGUAGUCC
rnacentral:rRNA from 1 species